rnacentral:rRNA from 1 species
GAAGCGGCCACACCCGGCUGGCAACAUCCAGCUCCACUCCGAACCUGGAAAUUAAGCAGUCGCGGGCCACAUCAGUACUGGGCUGGGCUUCCCGGGAACGUGCGGUGCUUGCUUCUUUUUCCUUUUUGCGCGGUGCAGGGCUAUUGCCCUGCACCAAUACUACACUCUACACCUAUGUUUGUCCCUGCUAAAACUCUUAAUGUUGAGAUAUUUUAUAAUUUUAUAUUUUUUAUUAAAAAAUGAAAAUUUUUCAUAAGCGAGAUCCCUCGCUGGAGGAAAUUGAGAGUUAAUGGUAGUGUGAAUAGUGUGUGACGAACAAUCCUUUC